rnacentral:rRNA from 1 species
AACGAACGCUGGCGGCAUGCCUAACACAUGCAAGUCGGACGAGACCUUCGGGUCUAGUGGCGCACGGGUGCGUAACGCGUGGGAAUCUGCCCUUAGGUACGGAACAACAGUUAGAAAUGACUGCUAAUACCGUAUGAUGUCUUCGGACCAAAGAUUUAUCGCCCAGGGAUGAGCCCGCGUAGGAUUAGCUAGUUGGUGAGGUAAAGGCUCACCAAGGCGACGAUCCUUAGCUGGUCUGAGAGGAUGAUCAGCCUCACUGGGACUGAGACACGGCCCAGACUCCUACGGGAGGCAGCAGUGGGGAAUAUUGGACAAUGGGCGAAAGCUUGAUCCAGCAAUGCCGCGUGAAUGAUGAAGGCCCUAGGGUUGUAAAGCUCUUUUACCCGGGAAGAUAAUGACUGUACCGGGAGAAUAAGCCCCGGCUAACUCCGUGCCGGCCGCCGCAGUAAAAC